UUUAUACUCCCUCCGUCCCAAAAUUCUUGUCUUAGAUUUGUCUAGAUACGGAUGUAUCUAAUACUAAAACGUGACUUGAUAUAUCGAUAUUUAGAUAAAUCUAAGACAAAAAUUUUGGGACGAAGGGAGUAACAA
rfam:Triticum aestivum genome assembly, contig: Triticum_aestivum_CS42_TGACv1_scaffold_409070_5BL